CAUCCAUGGCAAUGGGCAAAGAGACACCUUGUUCGUGGUGGUGUUCUUAUGUCAGUCAGGGGGAGAGCAGGUCCUUUGUUCAUCCUAGCUUGAUGCCCAGCUUGGUGGUCAAAACUGUCUUAUGCCUAGGAUACAUAA